rfam:Schistosoma margrebowiei strain Zambia genome assembly, scaffold: SMRZ_scaffold0000333
AGCUUUUCGAAUCCGUGCUGAGAUUUGUUCAGACAUCAACACAUUAGGGCUGAUCAGACUUUCAAGAUAAGUGAAGUU